UACGGAGGGUGCAAGCGUUAUCCGGAUUCACUGGGGUUAAAGGGUGCGUAGGCGGGCUGGUAAGUCAGUGGUGAAAUCUUCAAGCUUAACUUGGAAACUGCCGUUGAUACUAUCAAUCUUGAAUGUUGUGGAGGUAAGCGGAAUAUGUCAUGUAGCGGUGAAAUGCUUAGAUAUGACAUAGAACACCGAUAGCGAAGGCAGCUUGCUGCACAAAAAUUGACGCUGAGGCACGAAAGCGUGGGGAUCAAACAGG
rnacentral:rRNA from 1 species